rnacentral:rRNA from 1 species
GACGAACGCUGGCGGCGUGCUUAACACAUGCAAGUCGAACGGAAAGGCCCUGCUUUUGUGGGGUGCUCGAGUGGCGAACGGGUGAGUAACACGUGAGAAACCUGCCCUUGACUUUGGGAUAACUUCAGGAAACUGGGGCUAAUACCGGAUAGGAGCUCCUGCUGCAUGGUGGGGGUUGGAAAGUUUCGGCGGUUGGGGAUGGACUCGCGGCUUAUCAGCUUGUGGGUGGGGUAGUGGCUUACCAAGGCUUUGACGGGUAGCCGGCCUGAGAGGGUGACCGGCCACAUUGGGACUGAGAUACGGCCCAGACUCCUACGGGAGGCAGCAGUGGGGAAUAUUGCACAAUGGGCGGAAGCCUGAUGCAGCAACGCCGCGUGCGGGAUGACGGCCUUCGGGUUGUAAACCGCUUUCGCCUGUGACGAAGCGUGAGUGACGGUAAUGGGUAAAGAAGCACCGGCUAACUACGUG